rnacentral:rRNA from 1 species
UUGCCAGACUCCUACGGGAGGCAGCAGUGGGGGAUAUUGCACAAUGGAGGAAACUCUGAUGCAGCGACGCCGCGUGAGGGAAGACGGUCUUCGGAUUGUAAACCUCUGUCUUUGGGGAAGAAAAUGACGGUACCCAAAGAGGAAGCUCCGGCUAACUACGUGCCAGCAGCCGCGGUAAUACGUAGGGAGCGAGCGUUGUCCGGAAUUACUGGGUGUAAAGGGAGCGUAGGCGGGGAUGCAAGUUGGGUGUCAAAACUACCGGCUCAACUGGUAGUCGCACUCAAAACUGCAGCUCUUGAGUGAAGUAGAGGCAGGCGGAAUUCCUAGUGUAGCGGUGAAAUGCGUAGAUAUUAGGAGGAACACCAGUGGCGAAGGCGGCCUGCUGGGCUUUUACUGACGCUGAGGCUCGAAAGUGUGGGGAGCAAACAGGAUUAGAUACCCGAGUA